rnacentral:lncRNA from 1 species
AACAUUCAUAUCUUUUCCAUAAAAACUCGAAAUCACACAAAAUCUUCACCCAAAUUAUACCCAAAACCCUAAACCUUCUGACCCUAGCCUCAAAAGCUCGAAUGGCCUCGAAAGAGGAACCCUAAUUCCUAAUAUGACCUCGGGCAGCCUCCUCAAAGCCCAUUGGGCAUGGUAUUCGAUCAAUAGAGAUGAAGUUCUUCACCCCUUGCCUUCAUCCAACCAUGCCUUACUUUCAUCCUUCCCAAUAAGCCUCCUUCUAGUUAUAUUUUCAUCUUUUAACUCCUCCCUUCCCUUAAUCUUUAUACUAACUAUCUAAAUCCUAUAUAAUAUAAACUCUAUGAUCAAACUAGAUUAACUUCCAAAUAAUUUUUC